rnacentral:rRNA from 1 species
GGAGAAGUAAAGUGGCGCACGGGUGAGUAACGCGUGGGUAAUCUGCCCCUGAAUCUGGGAUAACAUCGCGAAAGCGUUGCUAAUACCGGAUACUGUCACUAGAGUACUGCUCUAGUGAUGAAAGGUGACCUCUUCAUGAAAGUUGCCGUUUAGGGAGGAGCCCGCGUACCAUUAGCUUGUUGGCGGGGUAAUGGCCCACCAAGGCUACGAUGGUUAGCUGGUCUGAGAGGAUGAUCAGCCACACUGGAACUGAAACACGGUCCAGACUCCUACGGGAGGCAGCAGUGAGGAAUUUUGCGCAAUGGGGGAAACCCUGACGCAGCAACGCCGCGUGAGUGAAGAAGGCUUUCGGGUCGUAAAGCUCUGUCAAGUGGGAAAAAAGCUUGCCGAUGAAUAGUCGGUAGGUCUGAUGGUACCGCUAGAGGAAGCACCGGCUAACUCCGUGCCAGCAGCCGCGGUAAUACGGAGGGUGCGAGCGUUGUUCGGAAUUAUUGGGCGUAAAGAGCGUGUAGGCGGGUUGGCAAGUCAGAUGUGAAAGCCCUGGGCUCAACCCAGGAUGUGCAUUUGAAACUGCCUUUCUAGAGUAUGGGAGAGGAGAGUGGAAUUCCCAGUGUAGAGGUGAAAUUCGUAGAUAUUGGGAGGAACACCCGUGGCGAAGGCGACUCUCUGGACCAAUACUGACGCUGAGACGCGAAAGCGUGGGGAGCAAACAGGAUUAGAUACCCUGGUAGUCCACGCCGUAAACGAUGAGAACUAGGUGUAGCGGGUAUUGACCCCUGCUGUGCCGGAGCUAACGCAUUAAGUUCUCCGCCUGGGGAGUACGGCCGCAAGGCUAAAACUCAAAGGAAUUGACGGGGGCCCGCACAAGCGGUGGAGCAUGUGGUUUAAUUCGACGCAACGCGAAGAACCUUACCUGGGUUUGACAUCCUCUGACUGUCUCGGAAACGGGAUUUUUCCUGCUUGCAGGAACAGAGUGACAGGUGCUGCAUGGCUGUCGUCAGCACGUGUCGUGAGAUGUUGGGUUAAGUCCCGCAACGAGCGCAACCCUUGUCUUUAGUUGCCAGUAUUAAGUUAGGCACUCUAAAAAUACUGCCUCGGAUAACGGGGAGGAAGGUGGGGAUGACGUCAAGUCCUCAUGGCCUUUAUACCCAGGGCUACACACGUGCUACAAUGGGCUGUACAAAGGGUUGCUAUCCCGCAAGGGAACGCCAAUCCCAAAAAGCAGUUCUCAGUUCGGAUUGGAGUCUGCAACUCGACUCCAUGAAGUUGGAAUCGCUAGUAAUCGUGGAUCAGCAUGCCACGGUGAAUACGUUCCC